CACCGACUGAUGAAGGAUGAGGAACGGGCUAGAAGCUGAGGACACGCCCGAGCCGGAGGACACAGGAUCAAGUUAUGACAAGGAUCACUCAACGUCGACACCGUGGAAACACAGCUUGAUGAGACCACCUCUUCCUGCUGUGUCAACUAUUGUCUCACAUCUGUCCGACCAUAUAUUCUCUCUCAACUAUCGCUGCCAGAACUAUUUGCCCCACCUGAUGAUACUACCACAUACAGAGCCAGACCUGUCUGCUAACACUGGAG